rnacentral:tRNA from 1 species
GCCGAAGUGGCGGAACUGGCAGACGCGCCGGACUCAAAAUCCGGUGGGCCGAGAGGCCCGUGUGGGUUCGAUUCCCACCUUCGGCA